GACCAGACUCCUACGGGAGGCAGCAGUGGGGAAUAUUGGGCAAUGGGCGCAAGCCUGACCCAGCAACGCCGCGUGAAGGAAGAAGGCUUUCGGGUUGUAAACUUCUUUUCUCAGGGACGAAUAGAUGACGGUACCUGAGGAAUAAGCCACAGCUAACUACGUGCCAGCAGCCGCGGUAAUACGUAGGUGGCAAGCGUUAUCCGGAUUUACUGGGUGUAAAGGGCGUGUAGGCGGGGACGCAAGUCAGAUGUGAAAACCACGGGCUCAACCUGUGGCCUGCAUUUGAAACUGUGUUUCUUGAGUACUGGAGAGGCAGACGGAAUUCCUAGUGUAGCGGUGAAAUGCGGAGAUAUUAGGAGGAACACCAGUGGCGAAGGCGGCCUACUGGGCACUAACUGACGCUGAGGCUCGAAAGCACGGGUAGCAAACAGGAUUAGAUACCCCGGUA
rnacentral:rRNA from 1 species